rnacentral:rRNA from 1 species
UACAGGGGGGGCAAGCGUUGUUCGGAAUUACUGGGCGUAAAGGGCGCGUAGGCGGCCUUCUAAGUCGAACGUGAAAUCCCCGGGCUCAACCCGGGAACUGCGUCCGAUACUGGAAGGCUUGAAUCCGGGAGAGGGAUGCGGAAUUCCAGGUGUAGCGGUGAAAUGCGUAGAUAUCUGGAGGAACACCGGUGGCGAAGGCGGCAUCCUGGACCGGUAUUGACGCUGAGGCGCGAAAGCCAGGGAGCAAAGCGGG